rnacentral:rRNA from 1 species
UCAAAUCAGGUAGGACUACCCGCCGAACUUAAGCAUAU